AAUCAAGAUGCCAAUCAGGAAUCGGGGCGGUCCUACUAAUGAACAACGUGAAUCACAGGCUCUGGGCGUGGUCGAUUAAAUUAUAAUAACCAAUCAUAGCCUGUAAAAAGCAAAGCUCCCCGCCAAUCGGAGUGUUUAAUCUAAGCGAUAUUUUGUCCUUCGGAGACACACGUUUGUGGAUUGGAUCAGUAAAUCGACUCCAGUGAGAGAAGAACCUCGUUUCAAGUCUGGGAUUUUAACAGCUUACGGAAAAAGAAUAAGUCAAUUGGACACUUUUGUAACACGGUAUGAGCACUUCAAGCACUUGCACAGCACUGGCAUCUUGUGGUGGAUUUUAGGUACUGCAUUUUUAAGUCUCUACAAUGAUAUGUACUUUUUGGAAUGUCUAGCACUGUCUAGCACUGUCACAACAAGGGAAAGUUGUGCUCACCACUAAUUUUUAAAACCAUUAAGCGUUUUUUUUAAGCGGAGCCGAGUAAAGUGGAAAGUCUUUAACAGCAGCUCUGUGGUGGGACCCCCCGAAACCAGUCUGCAAACGGUGGUACAGGGGCGCGGGGAGCUGAUCAUUUUUGGUGGGCUCAUGGACAAGAAACAGAACGUCAAAUAUUACCCCAAAACCAACGCCUUGUAUUUUGUACGGGCCAAGAGAUAAUGUCAUGGUAUCGCUAACCAACCAGACUCUUCAUUUUCCCAGCCCCGCCCGCUUAUUUGCUUUAUACUGUUUUACACUACUUGUUCCCUUGUGUUUUUAGCUCUCGAUAUGAUGACACGAGCCAAUAAAGAAAAUAACAGCUGUA